GGCCAGGCGCGCGCGGGCCACUUUAGUGUUCCCCCCCCUCCAUCAGCGCGUAAAAGGCGCAGGUAAUCUCUUCCGGCGCAGGAAGCGCCGCACAUCCGAGCCGACUGAUGCGGUUAACCUGCGGGCUGCUUUCAAAGAGCUCCGGAGUUUUGAUCAUAACAAGCGUUAAAGGUGCAACAUGUGUAGAAGGUCGACUUGGAUUCGCGAGCAAUGAAAGACGAUGGCACCUUUUCAUCCAGCCCACGCGCGUAAUUACCACCUUAACGCGCGGGGCCUCCCUGUGUAUAAAUAACACCAGCAGCGCCCACCAGCACACACACGCCCACCGCCACAGACCCGCCGCUCUAACCCUCUUUUGCUGCUUUAACGCUCUGACUCGACUCUGAGGGGAAGCCUGUGCGCCCUGUAGCUGAGAUCCGGCCAUGUGGACGCUCCUCUGUGCGCUGCUCCUGGCGGUGAGCUCGGUGGUCAGCAGCUUGGACUCCAACAUCAUCCGCUCCUCCAGAGAAAUAAUGGACACUCCGCAGACAGCGCCGCCCUCACAGAGAGACACGGUGGAUGUGAGCGCCCAUAACAUCAUGAGACGGAGGCAGGAAAAGCAAGGCGGGGUGGACUGCUCCCUCGAACAGCUGAAGGAGUGCAGAGGCUCUAAGAAGAGGCAGUGUCAGGGUGGUAAGAUCAGGCCGUCAGUGGAGGACGCCUGCAGAGGAAAAGUGCCCGAGAUGGGAGUGUGUCUGCGGUCCCGCGACUGCGAGGACGGCUUGUGCUGCGCUCAGUAUCUGACCGGACGACGGUGUCAGCGCAUCCCCAAGGAAGGAGAGGUCUGCUUUUUGAGGGGCCGACACAAAACCCGGCGGAAUCUGGACCGCUGCGACUGCGGGGCGGGCCUGCGCUGCCGACCACAGACGUCCAGCCUGCGGGGGCAGGGGGUCUGCCACAUCUAG
ensembl:lncRNA